rnacentral:rRNA from 1 species
UACGUAGGUGGCAAGCGUUGUCCGGAUUUACUGGGCGUAAGGAGCGCGUAGGCGGCGUGGUAAGUCACUUGUGAAAUCUCUGAGCUUAACUCAGAACGGCCAAGUGAUACUGCUGUGCUAGAGUGCAGAAGGGGCAAUCGGAAUUCUUGGUGUAGCGGUGAAAUGCGUAGAUAUCAAGAGGAACACCUGAGGUGAAGACGGGUUGCUGGGCUGACACUGACGCUGAGGCGCGAAAGCCAGGGGAGCAAACGGG